UACAGAGGUCCCGAGCGUUGUUCGGAUUCACUGGGCGUAAAGGGUGCGUAGGUGGCGAGGUAAGUCGGAUGUGAAAGCUCGGAGCUCAACUCCGAAAUGGCAUUGGAAACUACCUUGCUCGAGGGUUGGAGGGGGGACUGGAAUACUUGGUGUAGCAGUGAAAUGCGUAGAUAUCAAGUGGAACACCAGUGGCGAAGGCGAGUCCCUGGACAACUCCUGACACUGAGGCACGAAAGCUAGGGUAGCAAAUGGG
rnacentral:rRNA from 1 species